rnacentral:rRNA from 1 species
GACGAACGCUGGCGGCGUGCCUAACACAUGCAAGUCGAGCGAUGAAACCCCUUCGGGGGUGGAUUAGCGGCGGACGGGUGAGUAACACGUGGGUAACCUGCCUCAAAGUGGGGGAUAGCCUUCCGAAAGGAAGAUUAAUACCGCAUAAAGCCAAGUUUCACAUGGAAUUUGGAUGAAAGGAGUAAUUCGCUUUGAGAUGGACCCGCGGCGCAUUAGUUAGUUGGUGGGGUAAUGGCCUACCAAGACAGCGAUGCGUAGCCGACCUGAGAGGGUGAUCGGCCACAUUGGAACUGAGAUACGGUCCAGACUCCUACGGGAGGCAGCAGUGGGGAAUAUUGCACAAUGGGCGAAAGCCUGAUGCAGCAACGCCGCGUGAGUGAUGAAGGUCUUCGGAUUGUAAAGCUCUGUCUUUUGGGACGAUAAUGACGGUACCAAAGGAGGAAGCCACGGCUAACUACGUGCCAGCAGCCGCGGUAAUACGUAGGUGGCGAGCGUUGUCCGGAUUUACUGGGCGUAAAGGGUGCGUAGGCGGAUGUUUAAGUGAGAUGUGAAAUACCCGGGCUUAACUUGGGUGCUGCAUUUCAAACUGGAUAUCUAGAGUGCAGGAGAGGAGAAUGGAAAUCCUAGUGUAGCGGUGAAAUGCGUAGAGAUUAGGAAGAACACCAGUGGCGAAGGCGAUUCUCUGGACUGUAACUGACGCUGAGGCACG